AUGUCCAUACCACGCUGAAUACACCGGUUCUCAUCUGAUCACCGAAGUUGAGCAGCGUCGGGCGCGGUUAGGACUUGGAUGGGUGACCGCCUGGGAACACCGCACGA
rnacentral:rRNA from 1 species